GGGGGAGGGGAGAGGGGGGGAGGGGGCGGGUGGGGAGAGAAGCAGCAGAGUCACUUCACCGACCAGACGCCGCGGCCACCGCCGACGCCGCCGCCAUUUUAACAGAGCGCUCGGGCUGCGCUCGGCUCUUUCCGCCCGGGCUUAGGAGCGGACGAGAGGCGCCUCGCGCUCUCAUUCCUCCGCCUCCCUCCCUUUCUCGCCUCUCCUCCGCCCCCCACCUCUCCCUCCGCACACACGCCGCACGCUCCACACCCCGCCGUGGCCGGCUCGCCGCCCUCCCUUUCCUCUUCCGUCCGGCCUCCCCGCCCUCGGUCCACCCCCUCCGCGCGCUCGCCCACCCCGCCCAGCCCGGAUCUCUGUCAGCGGCCGGAAGGGAAACGCGAAGCCAGCGCGGCCGCGGGGGGAGUCCGGCAGUUGAAACCAACCAUCAUGGUGAUCUGGCUUUUCUAGGGCUGGCCAUACAUAAUUGAGUUCCUCCUGAUAAAAGGUAAGCAACAAUCCUGAGAAACAUAGUGGGAGCCCUGUGUCUACAAAAAUUUAAAAGGUGGCUGGGCGCGUUGGCUCACUCCUGAAAUCCCGCACUUAGGGAGGCUGAGGUGAGCAAAUCACCUGAGGUCGGGAGCUCUAGACCGGCCUGACCAACAUGGACAAAGCUCAUCUCUGCUAAAAAUACAAAAUUAGGCAUGGUGGUGCAUGCCUGUAAUCCCAGCUACUCAGGAGGCUGAGGCAGGAGAAUCGCUUGAACCCGGGAGGCAGGGGUUGCGGUGAGCCGAGAUCGCGCCAUUGCACUCCAGCCUGGGAUAAGAGUGAAACUCCGUCUCAUAAAAAAAAAAAAAAAAAAAGGCCAGGCAUGGUGGUUCAUGCCUGUAAUCCCAGCGCUUUGGGAGGCCGAGGCGAGAAGAUCACUAAAUCAGGAGAUUGAGACCAUCCUGGCUAACACGGUGAAACCCCGUCUCUACUAAAAAUACAAAAAAUUAGCCAGGCAUGGUGGUGGGCGCCUGUAGUCCCAGCUACUUGGGAGGCUGAGGCAGGAGAAUGGCAUGAACCCAGGGAGCAAAGCUUGCAGUGAGCUGAGAUCGCGCCACUGCACUCCAGCCUGGGCGACACAGCAAGACUCCGUCUCAAAAAAAAAAAAAAAAAAUUACCUGGUCGUGGUGGCUCACGACUAUAAUCAUAGUACUUUGAGAGUCCAAGGCAGAUGGAUUGCUUGAGCCUGGGAGUUCUACAUCAACCUGGGCAACAUGGCAAAAGUCCAUCUCCAGUACAUAAGAAAAUUAGUGGAAUGUGGUGGUGCACACCUGUAAUCCCAGCUACUGGGGAGGCUGAGGUGGGAGGAUCACUAGAGCCCAGGAGAUUGAGACUGCAGUGAGCUGUGGUCAUACCACUGCAGUCUAGCCUGGGUGACAGAGUGAGACCCUCUCUGGAAAAAAAAAGAAAUGUAAGCAGAAAUCUGCAGGAUGGGUUCUUUGGGAAGAAUUCCCAAAAGAAUUCCUAAUACGAUGAGGGACAAAUUCAGCUAACAUACCAUUUAACCCUUUCUGCCUGAAACAUGGUCUUGAUGCACAAAGUAAUACCCAUCUUGUAAUUUUUUUAACAAUGAAAACUUUUACCCCAUUUGCGAUUUCAUUGUUUAAAAAAUUUGAUUAAACAGGCCGGGCACAGUGGCUCACGCCUGUAAUCCCAACACUUUGGGAGGCUGAGGCAGGUGGAUCACCUGAGGUCAGAGUUCAAGACCAGCCUUACCUACAUGCUGAAACCCCAUCUCUUCUAAAAAUAUAAAAAAUGAGCCGGGUGUGGUGGCGGGCACUUUGUAAUCCCAGCUACUCGGGAGGCUGAGGCUGGAGAAUUGCUUGAACCCGGGGGUGGAGGUUGCAGUGAGCCGAGAUUCUGCCAUUGCACUCCAGCCUGGGCAACAAGAGCAAAAAAAAUUCCAUCUCGAAAAAAAAUGAUAAAACAGAAUCAUAAAGUGUGGAUCCCUGAUGCAUCUUUGAACAACAGUCUAUGCUCAGACUGCUUAUGUGAGAAAAAUAAAAUGUAUUUUUCUUGGCUGGGCAUGGUGGCCUACACCUGUAUUCCCAGAACUUUGAGAGGCUAAGGAGGGCAGAUCACUUGAGGACAGGAGUUAGAGACCGGCCUGGCCAACGUAAUGAAACCCAUCUCUACUAAAAAUACAAAAAUUAGGCUGGGCGCAAUGGCUCACGCCUGUACUCCCAGCACUUUGGGAGGGGGAGGUGGGCAGAACACAAGGUCAGGAGUUCAAGACCAGCCUGGCCAACGUAGUGAAGCCUCGUCUCUACUAAAAAUACAAAAAUUAGCCGGGUUUGAUGGCGCAUGCCUAUAGUCCCAACUACUUGGGAGGCUGAGGCAAGAGAAUUGCUUGAACCCAGGAGGCAGAAGUUGCAGUGAGCCAAGAUCGCACCAGUGCACUCCAGCCUCGGCGACAGAGCAAGACUCCGUCUCAAAAAAAAAAAAAAGCCGGUUGUGGUGGAGGGCACCUGUAAUCCCAGCCACUCAGAAGGCUGAGGCAGGAGAAUCCCUUGAACCCGGGAGGCAGAGGUUGCAGUGAGCUGCAGUUGCCACUGCACUCCAGCCUGGAUGACAGAGCAAGACUCCUCAAAAAAGUUCUUUUUCUUUAAGCCAUUCUUCAGAUUUUCGUUACUUGUAACCAAACACAUUUCUAACUACUGAUUACAGAUACUCUUUUUUUUUUUUUUUUUUUUUUUUGAGUCUCGCUUUUUUUGCCCAGGCUGGAGUGCAGUGGAGUGAUCUCCGCUCACUGCCAGCUCCGCCUCCCGGGUUCAGGCCAUUCUCCUGCCUCAGCCUCCUGAGUAGCUGGGACUACAGGUGCCACCACCACACCUGUCUACUUUUUUGUAUUUUUAGUAGAGAUGGGGUUUCUCCAUGUUGGUCAGGCUGGUCUCGAACUCCCACCCUCAGGUGAUCCGCCCGCCUCGGCCUCCUAAAGUGCUGUGAUUACAGGCGUGAGCCACCGCGCCCGGCCAAGUGUGUAUAACUGUUGAUCAACAUUUUGAAGACCAGUUAUGACAGUUAAAUUAUUUGCCACAACUCAAAUGAACAGCAGAGCACUUUAUCACAAACUAACAUUCACCCUGGAAUGUACUGUACAGUCAACCUAUUCUGUCUCCUUCCAUCUCUCCAUUCCUAUGCCUUUCAUCUUUUUAUUUUAUUUUAAUUUUUUUUUGAGAUGGAGUCUUGCUCUGCUGCCCAGGGUGGAGUGCAGUGGCGCAAUCUCGGCUCACUGCAAGCUCUGCCUCCUGGGUUCAAGCGAUUCACCUGCCUCAGCCUCCUAAAUAGCUGGGAUUACAGAUGUGUGCCAUCACAUUGGGCUAAUAUUUAUAUUUUUAGUAGAGACAGGGAUCUUACUAUGUUGCCCAGGCUGUUCUUGAACUCGGUCUCAAGUGAUCCACCCACCUCAGCCUCCCAAAGUGAUGGGAUUACAGGUAUGAGCCACCAGCCCUGGCCUAAAUUUAAAAAAAAGGGUAUUCCUAUGUUGCCCAGACUGGUCUCGAACUCCUGAGCUCCAGCAAUCCUCCCACCUGCCAAAGUGCUAGGAUUACAGUUGAGCCACUGCACCCCACAGAGAUCUCACUGUGUUGCCCAGGCUGCAGUGCAGUGACAAUUCAUAGGCCCAGCAUGCUUUGAACGGCAUGCUUUGAGGUGAUCCUCCUGCCUCAGCCUCCCAAGUAGCUGGGACUACAGGCAUAUUCCACCACUUUCCUGGCUCAAGGAAUCCUCCUGCCUCAGCCUCCUGGGUAGCUGGGAGGACAAGUGUGUGUCACCACACCUGGACAACUGGGGGUGUAUUUGUAUCUUAUGGGAUGGAUAUUUGGUGAUUUGUUAUGAGCAAAUUGAUACCCUUCUGUUUGUGGAGAUUCUCUUGAAUCCUUUUUUCCAUACACUCCAUUUUCUUCUGUUUGGAACUCAUGUUUACUUAUGGAGUGGUCCUCAAAUUUUUAAAAGUUUAUAUUUUGCAUCUUUUUCUCUUUUCCCUCUAUUUUUGGGAGAUUUAAAUUUCUUUUUUUUUCUUUUUGAGGAGUCUCGCUGUCGCCCAGGCUGGAGUGCAGUGGCGCCGUCUCAGCUCACUGCAAGCUCCGCCUCCCGGGUUCACGCCAUUCUCCUGCGUCAGCCUCCCAAGUAGCUGGGACUACAGGUGCCCACCACCAUGCCCGGCUAAUUUCUUUGUAUUUUUAGUAGAGACAGGGUUUCACAGUGUUAGCCAGGAUGGUCUCCAUCUCCUGACCUCGUGAUCCGCCCGCCUUGGCCUCCCAAAGCGCUGGGAUUACACACGUGAGCCACCGCACCUGCCUCUGCAACUCAUUUUUUAUUUCUGCUAUUCUCUAAUUUCCAAAAUUCUGUUCUCUUGAUAUACCUUUACUGUGGUAUUGUUUUUCUUGGUUGCAGAAAGCUCUCAACUUUUCUAAGGGUACUGGUGAUUGAUAUUUUUGUUUACUUUUGCCUGUGCAGUCUGUUUUCAACUUGCCCGUUUCCAUUUUAAAAUUCAUAUUGAGACUGCCCUUAGAUGUCUGAUAAUCCUUAGUUGUCCAUUUACACACCCAUUAUAUAAAAUGUAUAGGGAAGGCCAGGCACGGUGGCUCACGCCUAUAAUCCCAGCACUUUGGGAGGCUGAGGUGGGUGGAUCACCUGAGGUCAGGAGUUUGAGACCAGCCUGUCUAAACAUGGCAAAACCCCAUCUUUAGUAAAAGCACAAACAGCUGGUUGCGUUGAUGCGUGCCUGCAGCCCCAGCUUCUCUGGAGGCUGAGGCUGGAGAAUCGCUUGAAUCCGGGAGGCGGAGGUAGUAGUGAGCCGAGAUCACGCCACUGCACUCCAGCCUGAGCAACAGAGCAAGAUUCUAUCACCCCCACCCCCCACCCCGCAAAAAAAAAAAUCAAUCUAUAUCUGAGAGAGAGUGUCUCACUCUGGCUGGAGUGCAGUGGCACAAUCUCAGCUCACAGCAACCUCUCCUUCCCAAAUUCAAGAGAUUCUCCUGGCUCAGCCUCCCAAGCAGCUGGAACUACAGGCACGUGCCACCACACUUGGCUAAUUUUUGUAUUUUUUUGUAGAGACAGGGUUUCACUGUGUUGGCCAGGCAGGUCUGGGACUCUUGGCCUCAAGUGAUCCGCCCACCUUGGCCUCCCAAAGGGCAGGGAUUACAGGUGUGAGCUACCAAGCCUGGCUCCACUCACCCUUUUGAGAAGGCUCAUGGCUACUUAGUUUACUUACAUUUUUUAAGAAUACAAUUAGUAUUUGUACCAGGUUACAUCUGUGUUCUCAUUCCAAGGCUAAUGUUUAUUCUUUGUUACAUUUAGAUGCUAAGUAGAGUUAGACAAGAAGUGCCCUCUAAUCCCAAAUAAAGGUAAAAUGAGUCAAAAUGCCACAGGAGGAAUUUGUUUCUUGAGAACAAAAGGUAUCUUAGGAACAUGUUCAUUUUACACAACUGCUGCAUUUACUAGGAACAAUAACCUUAGAAAUCUUGUUUGUAAAUCAAGGGGUCCAACUUCAUUUAAAAUGUUACUUGAUGCUUAAACACAAAUACCCACUAUCAUUAAUAUAGGAAUAAAUGAG
rnacentral:lncRNA from 1 species